rnacentral:rRNA from 1 species
GCGCAGCCUGAUGCAGCGACGCCGCGUGAGGGAUGGAGGCCUUCGGGUUGUAAACCUCUUUUAUCGGGGAGCAAGCGAGAGUGAGUUUACCCGUUGAAUAAGCACCGGCUAACUACGUGCCAGCAGCCGCGGUAAUACGUAGGGUGCAAGCGUUAUCCGGAAUUAUUGGGCGUAAAGGGCUCGUAGGCGGUUCGUCGCGUCCGGUGUGAAAGUCCAUCGCUUAACGGUGGAUCCGCGCCGGGUACGGGCGGGCUUGAGUGCGGUAGGGGAGACUGGAAUUCCCGGUGUAACGGUGGAAUGUGUAGAUAUCGGGAAGAACACCAAUGGCGAAGGCAGGUCUCUGGGCCGUUACUGACGCUGAGGAGCGAAAGCGUGGGGAGCGAACAGGAUUAGAUACC